rnacentral:rRNA from 1 species
GACGAACGCUGGCGGCGCGCUUAACACAUGCAAGUCGAGCGAGAACCGGGCCUUCGGGCCUGGGGAAAGCGGCGAACGGGUGAGUAACACGUGGGUAAUCUGCCCUCGACAUCGGGAUAGCCCGGGGAAACCCGGAUUAAUACCGAAUAGCCUCCGGAGCUCUCGGGCACCGGAGAAAAGGUGGCUUCGGCUUCCGGUUGAGGAUGAGCCCGCGGCGGAUUAGCUUGUUGGCGGGGUAACGGCCCACCAAGGCGACGAUCCGUAGCUGGUCUGAGAG